rnacentral:tRNA from 1 species
GACUGGAUAGCUCAAUUGGUUAAAGUGUGGUGCUGAUCACGCCAAGGUUGCAGGUCCGAUCCCCUUAUGGGACA